UACUACUAUAAGACGAGAAGACCCCAUGGAGCUUUAAACCCAACUACACCCCUAUUUACAACAACUACUUAACCAAUUGGACACUGUAUGCUUGGUUUUAGGUUGGGGCGACCACGGAGUAAAAAAUAACCUCCACGAUAAAUGGGCUUACCCCCUUAUCUAAGAGCCACACCUCUAAGAAUUAAAAUAUUAAUAUAAUAUGAUCCUUUCUUGAUCAACGGACCAAGUUACCCUGGGGAUAACAGCGCAAUCCAUUUCAAGAGCCCCU
rnacentral:rRNA from 1 species